GACGAACGCUGGCGGCGUGCCUAACACAUGCAAGUCGAACGAAGCAAUAAAGACGGAGAUUCGUCAAAGCCUUUCUUGACUUAGUGGCGGACGGGUGAGUAACGCGUGAGUAACCUGCCUCUCAGAGGGGGAUAACGUUCUGAAAAGGACGCUAAUACCGCAUGACAUCCCGGGGCCGCAUGGCCCUGGGAUCAAAGGAGCAAUCCGCUGAGAGAUGGACUCGCGUCCGAUUAGCUAGUUGGUGAGAUAAAGGCCCACCAAGGCGACGAUCGGUAGCCGGACUGAGAGGUUGAACGGCCACAUUGGGACUGAGACACGGCCCAG
rnacentral:rRNA from 1 species